rnacentral:rRNA from 1 species
UAAGGAGGGCGCAAGCGUUAGCAGGAAUCACUGGGUUUAAAGGGUGCGUAGGCGGCUAAAUAAGUCAGAGGUGAAAGCUUGCAGCUUAACUGCGAAAUUGCCUUUGAUACUGUAUAGCUUGAAAGGAGCUGAGGUCAGCAGAAUGUGGCAUGUAGCGGUGAAAUGCAUAGAUAUGCCAUAGAAUACCAAUUGCGAAGGCAGCUGGCUGGGCUUACUUUGACGCUGAGGCACGAAAGCGUGGGGAUCGAACAGG